AAAUUUUACAUUAUACAUAUAUAUUUAUUUAUACAUGCAUCUCUCUCUCUAUAUAUAUAUAUAUAUAGCUACGUCCGUGUGUGUAAUUGACCAUGUCUCUUUAUAAAAUGUAUAAUUCAUGCAAAACACUCUCUAUCUUUCUCACUCAAGUUAUGGGUGUAUUUGAAAGCUUUUCACGGAUUGAAGAAGCAUCAAAAUGUCAUGAUCAAGGACAAAAAGGCUAUUUCAAGAAGAAGAAGAAGGUGAUUGUAACUUGUUCUUCUUCAUGAUGAAAUCAACGACUCUAUCUUAUCCUGAGCUUCUUCUUUUUUUCUUAUUAAGUAUACUUCUACUGUUUUUUCUUGACCUUGUAAGACCUUUUCUCUACCCUUUUCUGUCUUCUUAUUUUUCCAUCUUCUUGGUUUCUCUGUUAUGUCCAGUUUCUACAUUAGUUGAUGUCUCUGCUAAAUCGAUGAAGAUUUUGUAGUAAACUCAUAGGGUUCGUAUUUUCUCUCCUUUAUUUGUCCCUCUUGAGCUUCCUAAACUUCUCCACUAAUCUCUUUUACUUUGUAUUGUUUUAAUUAAGAGAUCUAGGAGUUUCUUAUAAACACGUUCUAAUGCAAAAAAAUCACAAUUGUAACAUUAGUUCGAUAUUAAAUUUGUUAAUCCUUUUCAUUUCACAUA